rnacentral:rRNA from 1 species
AUUGAACGCUGGCGGCAUGCCUUACACAUGCAAGUCGAACGGUAACAGGUCUUCGGAUGCUGACGAGUGGCGAACGGGUGAGUAAUACAUCGGAACGUGCCUAGUAGUGGGGGAUAACUACUCGAAAGAGUGGCUAAUACCGCAUGAGAUCUACGGAUGAAAGCAGGGGAUCGCGCGACCUUGUGCUACUAGAGCGGCCGAUGGAAGAUUAGGUAGUUGGUGGGAUAAAAGCUUACCAAGCCGACGAUCUGUAGCUGGUCUGAGAGGACGAUCAGCCACACUGGGACUGAGACACGGCCCAGACUCCUACGGAAGGCAGCAGUGGGGAAUUUUGGACAAUGGGCGCAAGCCUGAUCCAGCAAUGCCGCGUGCAGGAUGAAGGCCUUCGGUUUGUAAACUGCUUUUGCACGGAACGAAAAGCCCUGGGUUAAUACCCUGGGGUCAUGACGGUACCGUAAGAAUAAGCACCGGCUAACUACGUGCCAGCCGCCGCCGUAA